CUCUCUCUCUCUCUCACUCUCUCAUCUCACUCAAUUCUCUUUUCUCCCUCUGUUCAUUCUAUUCUUGCCUAAUCUUCUUCUAAAUUCUCCCUUCAUUCUUCCAAUUUCCAAUCCAACCCUAGGCUAAACCCUAGGUCCAUGACACUUGUCUUCACCAUGAGCCAAGAUUACAAUAGUAGACAAGAUUAAAGAGGUAGAUUGGAGAAGGAUGGCCACCAGAGGGUCACCUGUCACAAGACAGCCCCCCCCCCCCC